CUCUAGUAAUAUAUAUAGAUGUAUACACACCUACACAUAUACAUAGAGUAUAUACAGAUGUAUACACACAUACAUAUGUAUAUGGAGGUUUA
rnacentral:miRNA from 1 species